GAUGAACGCUGGCGGCGUGCCUAAUACAUGCAAGUCGAGCGAACGGACGAGAAGCUUGCUUCUCUGAUGUUAGCGGCGGACGGGUGAGUAACACGUGGAUAACCUACCUAUAAGCCUGGGAUAACUUCGGGAAACCGGAGCUAAUACCGGAUAAUAUUUUGAACCGCAUGGUUCAAAAGUUAAAGACGGUCUUGCUGUCACUUAUAGAUGGAUCCGCGCUGCAUUAGCUAGUUGGUAAGGUAACGGCUUACCAAGGCAACGAUGCAUAGCCGACCUGAGAGGGUGAUCGGCCACACUGGAACUGAGACACGGUCCAGACUCCUACGGGAGGCAGCAGUAGGGAAUCUUCCGCAAUGGGCGAAAGCCUGACGGAGCAACGCCGCGUGAGUGAUGAAGGUCUUCGGAUCGUAAAACUCUGUUAUUAGGGAAGAACAUAUGUGUAAGUAACUGUGCACAUCUUGACGGUACCUAAUCAGAAAGCCACGGCUAACUACGUG
rnacentral:rRNA from 1 species